rnacentral:rRNA from 1 species
AACGAACGCUGGCGGCAGGCUUAACACAUGCAAGUCGAACGCCCCGCAAGGGGAGUGGCAGACGGGUGAGUAACGCGUGGGAACAUACCCUUUCCUGCGGAAUAGCUCUGGGAAACUGGAAUUAAUACCGCAUACGCCCUACGGGGGAAAGACUUAUCGGGGAAGGAUUGGCCCGCGUUGGAUUAGCUAGUUGGUGGGGUAAAGGCCUACCAAGGCGACGAUCCAUAGCUGGUCUGAGAGGAUGAUCAGCCACAUUGGGACUGAGACACGGCCCAAACUCCUACGGGAGGCAGCAGUGGGGAAUAUUGGACAAUGGGCGCAAGCCUGAUCCAGCCAUGCCGCGUGAGUGAUGAAGGCCUUAGGGUUGUAAAGCUCUUUCACCGAUGAAGAUAAUGACGGUAGUCGGGGAAGAAGCCCCGGCUAACUUCGUGCCAGCCGCCGCCGUAAGAC